rnacentral:rRNA from 2 species
UAGGGAAUUUUCGGCAAUGGGGGAAACCCUGACCGAGCGACGCCGCGUGAGUGAAGAAGGCCUUCGGGUUGUAAAGCUCUGUUGUAAGGGAAGAACUGUAUGAGGAGGGAAUGCCUCAUACCUGACGGUACCUUACCAGAAAGCCACGGCUAACUACGUGCCAGCAGCCGCGGUAAUACGUAGGUGGCAAGCGUUAUCCGGAAUUAUUGGGCGUAAAGGGAUCGUAGGCGGUUUAUUAAGUUUGUGGUUAAAGUUCGGGGCUCAACCCCGUGAUGCCAUAGAAACUGGUAGACUUGAGUGCAGAAGAGGUUAGUGGAAUUCCAUGUGUAGCGGUAAAAUGCGUAGAUAUAUGGAGGAACACCAGUGGCGAAGGCGACUAACUGGUCUGUAACUGACGCUGAGGAUCGAAAGCGUGGGGAGCAAAUAGG